rnacentral:rRNA from 1 species
UACGGAGGGUGCAAGCGUUAUCCGGAUUCACUGGGUUUAAAGGGUGCGUAGGUGGGCAGGUAAGUCAGUGGUGAAAGCUCUCAGCCUAACUGAGAAAUUGCCAUUGAUACUGAUGAUCUUGAGUACAUUUGAGGUAGGCGGAAUGUGUCAUGUAGCGGUGAAAUGCUUAGAUAUGACACAGAACACCGAUUGCGUAGGCAGCUUACUAAACUGUAACUGACGCUGAGGCACGAAAGCGUGGGGAGCAAACAGG